AUUGAACGCUGGCGGCAUGCCUUACACAUGCAAGUCGAACGGCAGCACGGGUGCUUGCACCUGGUGGCGAGUGGCGAACGGGUGAGUAAUACAUCGGAACGUACCUUAUCGUGGGGGAUAACGCAGCGAAAGCUGUGCUAAUACCGCAUACGCCCUGAGGGGGAAAGCGGGGGAUCGCAAGACCUCGCGCGAUUAGAGCGGCCGAUGCCUGAUUAGCUUGUUGGUGGGGUAAAAGCCCACCAAGGCGACGAUCAGUAGCUGGUCUGAGAGGACGAGCAGCCACACUGGGACGAGGGCACGGCCCAGACUCCUACGGGAGGCAGCAGUGGGGAAUUUUGGACAAUGGGGGCAACCCUGAUCCAGCAAUGCCGCGUGAGUGAAGAAGGCCUUCGGGUUGUAAGGCUCUUUUGUCAGGGAAGAAACACCGGCUCUAACACAGUCCGGGAAUGACGGUACCUGAAGAAUAAGCACCGGCUAACUACGUGCCAGCCGCCGCCGCGG
rnacentral:rRNA from 1 species